GAUGAACGCUGGCGGCGUGCCUAAUACAUGCAAGUCGAGCGAACAGACGAGGAGCUUGCUCCUCUGACGUUAGCGGCUGACGGGUGAGUAACACGUGGAUAACCUACCUAUAAGACUGGGAUAACUUCGGGAAACCGGAGCUAAUACCGGAUAAUAUAUUGAACCGCAUGGUUCAAUAGUUAAAGACGGUUUUGCUGUCACUUAUAGAUGGAUCCGCGCCGCAUUAGCUAGUUGGUAAGGUAACGGCUUACCAAGGCAACGAUGCGUAGCCGACCUGAGAGGGUGAUCAGCCACACUGGAACUGAGACACGGUCCAGACUCCUACGGGAGGCAGCAGUAGGGAAUCUUCCGCAAUGGGCGAAAGCCUGACGGAGCAACGCCGCGUGAGUGAUGAAGGUCUUCGGAUCGUAAAACUCUGUUAUUAGGGAAGAACAAAUGUGUAAGUAACUAUGCACGUCUUGACGGUACCUAAUCAGAAAGCCACGGCUAACUACGUG
rnacentral:rRNA from 1 species